CCGGGUAGUCCCAGCUGUAAACGAUGCAGACUGGAUGAUGCAUUGGCAUAUAGCCAGUGCAGUGUCGCAGGGAAGCCGUUAAGUCUGCCGCCUGGGAAGUACGUACGCAAGUAUGAAACUUAAAGGAAUUGGCGGGGGAGCACCACAAGGGGUGAAGCCUGCGGUUCAAUUGGAGUCAACGCCAGAAAUCUUACCCGGAGAGACAGCAGAAUGAAGGUCAAGCUGAAGACUUUACCAGACAAGCUGAGAGGUGGUGCAUGGCCGUCGUCAGCUCGUGCCGUGAGAUGUCCUGUUAAGUCAGGUAACGAGCGAGAUCCCUGCCACUAGUUGCUAUCAUUAUUCUCAGGAAUAGUGGGGCGAAUUAGUGGGACUGCCGUUGUUAAAACGGAGGAAGGAAGGGGCUACGGCAGGUCAGUAUGCCCCGAAACUCUGGGGCCACACGCGGGCUGCAAUGGUAGUGACAAUGGGCUCCUAACUCGAAAGAGAGAGGCAAUCCACGAACACUACCACAGUUAUGACUGAGGGCUGCAACUCGCCCUCACGAAUAUGGAAUCCCUAGUAACCGCGUGUCAUUACCGCGCGGUGAAUACGUCCCUGCUCCUUGCACACACCGCCCGUCGUUUCAUCGAAGUUUGCUUUUAGUGAGGUGAUGUUUAAUUGACAUUAUCGAACUUGAGGUAAGUGACGAGGGAAAAGUCGUAACAAGGUGACCGUAGGGGAACCUGCGGUCG
rnacentral:rRNA from 1 species